AGAAGAAGGAUGAAGAGCGGCAGAUUGAGCUCGAAGCACGAAAAUGGCGGGCAAGCGUGUAGCUUCCUCUUCUCUCUCAGCCGCCAUGGCUGCCUUCCGCAUUAGCUCGUCCAGUUUGAAGAACUGCCCCGCCGGCCGUCUUCUUCAAGCUCCACUUCUCGCUCCCAGUCAAUUGGAUGGUUUUGUUCACAAGGUUUUCAGACAGCCAGACCGUUGCGUCCAUCCUCUUUAUGGUGGGAGGAGAUCGCCUUCUGUUGGGCAAGCAUGGGUUCGUUCAUGUCCGUAUUCGAAUGAGGCCCUGGAGCAGCCGAAGCACUUGGAGAGGAGCACUGCUGUCGGAGACGGUGAGACUAAAGUUAAGAGGAAGAAACUGAAGGGGAAGAGGGCCGUCGUGAGGUGGCUGAAGUUUUUCAGAUGGAAGAAGAAGAAAGAGUACGAGAGAAUGACGGCCGAAGAGAAGAACCUCUACAAGCUGAGAAAGGCUAGAAAGAAAGAGGAGAGGCUGGUUGAAUCUCUGAAAAAGAUUGAACCCAAGGAAUCAUCCGAGAUAAUCCACGAUCCUGAGAUAUUGACUCCGGAAGAGCACUUCUUCUUCUUAAAGAUGGCCCAUAAGUGCAAAAAUUAUGUUCCAAUCGGUCGACGGGGUAUAUAUCAGGGUGUGAUACUAAACAUGCACUUGCAUUGGAAGAAACACCAGACUGUGAAGGUGGAGGUCAAAACAUUUUCCCCUGAUGAGGUCAAGGGGAUUGCUGCUGAGCUUGCAAGAUUGACAGGAGGGAUCGUUCUCGACAUUCAUGAAGAGAAUACGAUAAUUAUGUACAGAGGAAAGAAUUACUGUCAGCCCCCAACUGAAAUAAUGUCACCGAGGGUCACCCUAUCAAGAAAGAAGGCUUUAGAUAAGUCCAAAUACAGGGACGGGCUUCGAGCUGUUAGGAAGCAGAUCCCGAGACUCGAGCAGGAACUUGAGUUGCUUCGUGCUCAGGCUGAAAGACCUGCCGAAAACAAGACUGAGUUGGUGGAAGAUACCAAAGUGGCUGACGAUGAUAAAAAUGCGCACUUGGGAGUGUCAAGCCUGCAGAUGGAGAAUUCUAGCAGGCUGAAGGAAAUUAUAGAGCGAGCAGAAGAUUGCGUGGAUGAUGAGUCAAAUACGGAGCUGGGCAUUGAAUCUGACUCUGAAGAUUUAUCUGACAUCUUUGAGACGGAUUCGGAGACCGAACCUGAGGACAAGGCAGGAGAUAAUCUUUAUUUGGAUGCGGUUGAUAAGUUUCCUGCACAUAGUGGGGAAGAGCCAGAAGAUUUUGAGGACCACUUGCGUCAGAUAUCGAUGGACUCAAGGAAUGCUCGAACAGAAAAACACCUUAGCACUCCCAACUUGGAUGAGGUUGAUCGGAUGUUUCUUCGAGCGGCCUCACUGCUGAAGAAGAAGAGGCGAUAAAAGUCUCGUCAAGUGUACGAGUCCAGGAGUUCCAUAGUCUGGAGCCAGUCGGAGCCUAUCCAUUUUCUCUGAAAUGUAUAUGUAGUCGGUUUUGCAGGCGAGUAAUCUUGCAUAUCUCGUUCUUACUCUAGAGUUGGCUUUGAAAUUCGGAUGUGCAAUAUUAUAACUCAUCAAAUGUCGAGACCUAUACUGGUAUCGGGUGAAUUAGCCCUUCGAUGAUUGUAUCUUGCUUGAUAUUCCAAUGAAUUAAGGUGAUUAGUUGCUAUGGUU